UGGGGAAUUUUGCGCAAUGGGCGAAAGCCUGACGCAGCAACGCCGCGUGAGUGAAGAAGGCCUUUGGGUCGUAAAGCUCUUUUCCAAGAGACGAGGCUGACGGUACCUUGGGAAUAAGCACCGGCUAACUCCGUGCCAGCAGCCGCGGUAAUACGGAGGGUGCAAGCGUUGUUCGGAUUUACUGGGCGUAAAGGGCGUGUAGGCGGAUCGGCAAGUCGGGGGUGAAAUCCCUGGGCUCAACCCGGGACGUGCUUCCGAAACUACCGAUCUUGAGUAAGGCAGAGGCAGGUGGAAUUCCAGGUGUAGAGGUGAAAUUCGUAGAGAUCUGGAGGAACACCGGCGGCGAAGGCGGCCUGCUGGGCCUUAACUGACGCUGAGGCGCGAAAGCGUGGGGAGCAAACAGGAUUAGAUACCCCCGUAGUCC
rnacentral:rRNA from 1 species